rnacentral:rRNA from 1 species
GAUGAACGCUAGCGGCAGGCUUAAUACAUGCAAGUCGUGGGGCAGCAGGUUUGUAGCAAUACAGAUGCUGGCGACCGGCAAACGGGUGCGGAACACGUACAGAACCUUCCUUGAGCGGGGAAUAGCCCAGAGAAAUUUGGAUUAAUACCCCAUAGUAUAAUGAAGUGGCAUCACUUUAUUAUUAAAGAUUUAUCACUCGAAGAUGGCUGUGCGGCUGAUUAGGUAGUUGGCGGGGUAAAGGCCCACCAAGCCUGCGAUCAGUAACUGGUGUGAGAGCACGACCAGUCACACGGGCACUGAGACACGGGCCCGACUCCUACGGGAGGCAGCAGUAAGGAAUAUUGGUCAAUGGAGGCAAACUCUGAACCAGCCAUGCCGCGUGGAGGAUGAAGGUCCUCUGGAUUGUAAACUUCUUUUAUAUGGGACGAAAAAAAGGCUUUUCUAAGUCGUCUGACGGUACCAUAUGAAUAAGCACCGGCUAACUCCGUGCCAGCAGCCGCGGUAA